rnacentral:rRNA from 1 species
UACAGAGGGGGCAAGCGUUGUUCGGAAUUACUGGGCGUAAAGCGUGCGCAGGCGGCUUUGCAAGACAGAUGUGAAAUCCCCGGGCUUAACCUGGGAACUGCAUUUGUGACUGCAUGGCUGGAGUGCGGCAGAGGGGGAUGGAAUUCCGCGUGUAGCAGUGAAAUGCGUGGAUAUGCGGAGGAACACCGAUGGCGAAGGCAAUCCCCUGGGCCUGCACUGACGCUCAUGCACGAAAGCGUGGGGAGCAAACAGG